rnacentral:rRNA from 1 species
UACGGAGGAUGCAAGCGUUAUCCGGAUUUAUUGGGUUUAAAGGGUGCGCAGGCGGGAGAUUAAGUCGGCGGUGAAAUUUUGCAGCUCAACUGUAAAAGUGCCUUCGAAACUGGUUUCCUUGAGUGUAGAUGAAGUAGGCGGAAUUUGUGGUGUAGCGGUGAAAUGCAUAGAUAUCACGAGGAACUCCGAUUGCGCAGGCAGCUUACUAAACUACUACUGACGCUCAGGCACGAAGGCGUGGGGAUCAAACAGGAUUAGAUACCCGU